CCGGUGGCAGCGCAACUGCCACGGCAAGUCCAGGGGUCGGCACGGCUGCCCACAACAGACUCAAUGAAAUCGGCCAAUCCAAAACUGAAAGUUGCCGAUGUAAAGCAUUCCAUAAUCGCUAUGAUGCUUUCAAAGAAAACGUUAAAAUACGAUCUAAGGCGAAUUCAGUUCAGUCAUUUUGCGCAGCAUAAACAAGUACAGCUCAAUAACGUUUUGUUAGAGGAGAAAUCAUCCAGCCAUGUUCUAUUAACAUAUAAGGCCUCGUAAUCAGCCUGUGUUAACAAGUUCACAUAAAAACAAAUGAGCUGCACACCGCUGUCGUCGAGAAAGUAAUUCUUGCCAUGAUAUCUUCCUGCAGAACGGCAACAAUCAGGCCAUCCAUAAGCUGCUUCACGUUGCGGUCUGCGAAGAGAAUUAUGAUAUUUGACACACCACCGUCACGUACAUAGGGUUCUGUAUCACUCGUCGGUAUAGUGUAAAUUAGAUAUAGGCAAGAAGAGGAAUUAGUGAGUUGCCGCAUUAGUGAGCGCUUUAUUCCUGAAAAAUAUGAUUCGCCCGCUCGCAUAAAAACAA